rnacentral:rRNA from 1 species
GACGAACGCUGGCGGCGUGCCUAACACAUGCAAGUCGAGCGAGUGAAUCUCCUUCGGGAGUGAAGCUAGCGGCGGACGGGUGAGUAACACGUGGGCAACCUGCCUCAUAGAGGGGAAUAGCCUUUCGAAAGGAAGAUUAAUACCGCAUAAGAUUGUAGCUUCGCAUGAAGUAGCAAUUAAAGGAGCAAUCCGCUAUGAGAUGGGCCCGCGGCGCAUUAGCUAAUUGGUGAGGUAACGGCUCACCAAGGCGACGAAGCGUAGCAGACCUGAGAGGCUGAUCGGCGACAUUGGGACGGCGACACGGCCCAGACUCCUACGGGAGGCAGCAGUGGGGAAUAUUGCACAAUGGGGGAAACCCUGAUGCAGCAACGCCGCGUGAGUGAUGACGGCCUUCGGGUUGUAAAGCUCUGUCUUCAGGGACGAUAAUGACGGUACCUGAGGAGGAAGCCACGGCUAACUACGUGCCAGCCGCCGCGGUAA